rnacentral:misc_RNA from 1 species
GAUGAAGAACGUAGCGAAAUGCGAUAAGUAAUGUGAAUUGCAGAAUUCAGUGAAUCAUCGAAUCUUUGAACGCACAUUGCGCCCCCUGGCAUUCCGGGGGGCAUGCCUGUCCGAGCGUCAUUACAACCCUCAAGCUCAGCUUGGUGUUGGGCCCCGCCGCCCCGGCGGGCCCUAAAGUCAGUGGCGGUGCCGUCCGGCUCCGAGCGUAGUAAUUCUUCUCGCUCUGGAGGUCCGGUCGCGUGCUCGCCAGCAACCCCCAAUUUUUUUCAGGUUGACCUCGGAUCAGGUAGGGAUACCCGCUGAACUUAAGCAUAUCAAUGCGGAGGA